AGUGAGGAAUCUUCCACAAUGGGCGCAAGCCUGAUGGAGCGACACCGCGUGAAGGAUGAAGGCCUAACGGUUGUAAACUUCUUUUCUGAGGGAGCAUAAUGAGAGUACCUCAGGAAUAAGGGACGGCUAAAUACGUGCCAGCAGCCGCGGUAAUACGUAUGUCUCAAGCGUUAUCCGGAAUUACUGGGUGUAAAGAGUUCGUAGGUUGUUUAUUAAGUUAGGUAUGAAAGACCGGAGCUCAACUCCGUGUUUGUGCUUAAAACUGGUAAACUAGAAUUAGGGAGAGGUAAGCGGAAUUCUAAGUGUAGGGGUGCAAUCCGUAGAUACUUAGAAGAACACCAAAAGCGAAGGCAGCUUACUGGAACUAUAUUGACGCUGAGGAACGAAAGCGUGGGGAGCGAAAAGGAUUAGAUACCCUUGUAGUCCACGCCCUAAACGAUGAUAACUUAGUGUUGGGAUUUAUUCUCAGUGCUGAAGCUAACGCGAUAAGUUAUCCACCUGAGGAGUACGGUCGCAAGACUA
rnacentral:rRNA from 1 species